AGAAUACAAGAAUACAAAAAAUUAAAAAAAACACAGCCUUAUAGUCAUACACUCUUAUUCAAUAUACUCAUUUAAUGAGUUGGGAGUUGGGACUAUUACAUUGAUACUUCCUCUCUACUGAUUUCUCACACUAUUUCUAUUCUUGUUCUUCAUAAUUAUUUAUACUACUANNNNNNNNNNNNNNNNNNNNNNNNCCAUCACUUUUUUUUUUUUUAAAUAAAAUAUAAUUUUAUCACCAAACAUACUAACACUCUAUAUGCUAUUUAUAUGUGAGUAUUGCCCAAGUUUCAAAUGUAGAGAGAAUCCAAACUGGGCCAUGCAGGGCACUCGCUUCUCAUGUUUAAUCAUAUUUUAUUAUUAUUAUUAUUUCUGAAUUAUAUGUCUCUUGUUCAUCUUAUAGUUGGUUUUUCAUUUUCACCUUUUUCUUCUUUUCUUUAUCUUCAUCCUUAGUUGCUUACCCACCUAACACUCAUCAACUUCAACGUCAUAAGGAUAAUAAUUAACAUACAUACAUGCAUCUCCACCACGUGUUGAGGUGACUUUGUUACAUUAUAUUAUUGCAUUGAGGCCUCGUAAUAAAAUCUCUUUGAUGCUGUUAUUGGCCCAUGGUUAAAAUUGUAAUUGCAACAUUUUAUGCAAUGAAAUAUAUCUUUGAUAUAAAAAAAAUGUGCUCUAUUAUUGACUUGUCUAAAAGGCCACUUGGAUUAAAAUGAUUGUAAAAAACGCCCACCUAUU
rnacentral:lncRNA from 1 species